ACUGCCGGUGGAGGACUCAACAGCCGAACUUCCAACAGAGGAUUCACUGCCUGUGGAGAACUCAACAGCCGAAUUUCCGACAGAGGCGGUGGAGGACUCAACAGAUUCAUCAGGAUCAUUGCCAGAAUCGUUGUCAAGUUGGAUUUCAAAUCCAAACAGCAUAACAGAUUGCUCUUGAGUUGGAGAAAUCAACCGCCAGUACUGGUGAUGCAUUUGAUUUCUACCCAGCCACAUAGACUGAUGAAACUGUGGUGUUUGGAUCAAAGGACAUUAUCGAUCCCAGUCCUCCUGUUAAUGAUUCGGAGCUGGAGGAGAUUGAGGCGGAGGAGGAGCAGCAUGGAGAACCGGUUUGGGACUAUGAGCCGGAAGAAGGGGAAAGACAAAUUAUCAGUCUGGAUAGGAUUAAGGAACCGGCCAAUCAACAGCUUAACGCAGAGAGUACUGAAGAACAACAGCUUAACGCAGAGAGUACUGAAGAAUAACAGCUUAACGCAGAGAGUACUGAAGAACAGGAGAACGAUCAACCGCGUAGGGAAGACAUGGUAGAAUUCACUGGAUGUAUGUAUCGAAGACCUAAAUUGAAAUGGAAAUAUUUAGCAAAAUGUAUUACUGGGAAAACAAUUGAAGAGAACUAAGGUGGGAGAGCUGAACAGUCAACCAGAUGGACAAAGGCAUAGUGAAAUUCAUAGUCGUUUUGCUACUAACAUGAAAGAGAUUAACCAAUACAACUGUUUGGAGAUACUUCUCAAACUAAUAUGUCAAAGUGGGUAAAUGUUGCCUUUAACUUUCUAAAGCAUUUGUAGAGGAGUACAGAUAUCUUCUAGGAUAAACUACUUGUCUGUUACGAUAAUAUUCAUUGCUCAUCAUUCAUCAGUACCUUAACUUGCCAUCAGUGAGCAAGCUUGACCUU